rnacentral:rRNA from 1 species
AUUGAACGCUGGCGGCAGGCCUAACACAUGCAAGUCGAGCGGAUGAAGGGAGCUUGCUCCUGGAUUCAGCGGCGGACGGGUGAGUAAUGCCUAGGAAUCUGCCUGGUAGUGGGGGAUAACGUCCGGAAACGGGCGCUAAUACCGCAUACGUCCUGAGGGAGAAAGUGGGGGAUCUUCGGACCUCACGCUAUCAGAUGAGCCUAGGUCGGAUUAGCUAGUUGGUGGGGUAAAGGCCUACCAAGGCGACGAUCCGUAACUGGUCUGAGAGGAUGAUCAGUCACACUGGAACUGAGACACGGUCCAGACUCCUACGGGAGGCAGCAGUGGGGAUAUUGGACAAUGGGCGAAAGCCUGAUCCAGCCAUGCCGCGUGUGUGAAGAGGGUCUUCGGAUUGUAAAGCACUUUAAGUUGGGAGGAAGGGCAGUAAGUUAAUACCUUGCUGUUUUGACGUUACCAACAGAAUAAGCACCGGCUAACUUCGUG